rnacentral:rRNA from 1 species
GAUGAACGCUGGCGGCGUGCCUAAUACAUGCAAGUCGAGCGAACAGACGAGGAGCUUGCUCCUCUGACGUUAGCGGCGGACGGGUGAGUAACACGUGGAUAACCUACCUAUAAGACUGGGAUAACUUCGGGAAACCGGAGCUAAUACCGGAUAAUAUAUUGAACCGCAUGGUUCAAUAGUGAAAGACGGUUUUGCUGUCACUUAUAGAUGGAUCCGCGCCGCAUUAGCUAGUUGGUAAGGUAACGGCUUACCAAGGCAACGAUGCGUAGCCGACCUGAGAGGGUGAUCGGCCACACUGGAGCUGAGACACGGUCCAGACUCCUACGGGAGGCAGCAGUAGGGAAUCUUCCGCAAUGGGCGAAAGCCUGACGGAGCAACGCCGCGUGAGUGAUGAAGGUCUUCGGAUCGUAAAGCUCUGUUAUUAGGGAAGAACAAAUGUGUAAGUAACUAUGCACGUCUUGACGGUACCUAAUCAGAAAGCCACGACUAACUACGUG